UUAAUUGAAGCCAAAAAGAGGCAUUUCAUUGUUAAUGAAAUUAAUGAGAUUAAUCUCCAAUUAAA
rnacentral:tRNA from 1 species